rnacentral:rRNA from 1 species
UAGGGAAUCUUCCGCAAUGGACGCAAGUCUGACGGAGCAACGCCGCGUGAGUGAAGAAGGAUUUCGGUUCGUAAAACUCUAUUGUUAGAGAAGAACAGCGCAUAGAGUAACUGUUAUGCGUGUGACGGUAUCUAACCAGAAAGCCACGGCUAACUACGUGCCAGCAGCCGCGGUAAUACGUAGGUGGCAAGCGUUGUCCGGAUUUAUUGGGCGUAAAGCGAGCGCAGGCGGUCAAUUAAGUCUGAUGUAAAAGCCCCCGGCUCAACCGGUGAGGGUCAUUAGAAACAUGUUGACUUGAGUGCAGAAGAGGAGAGUGGAAUUCCAUGGGUAGCGGUGAAAUGCGUAGAUAUAUGGAAGAACACCAGUGGCGAAGGCGACUCUCUAGUCUGUAACUGACGCUGAGGCUCGAAAGCGUGGGUAGGAAACAGG